UGGGGAAUAUUGCACAAUGGGCGCAAGCCUGAUGCAGCCAUGCCGCGUGUGUGAAGACGGCCUUCGGGUUGUAAAGCACUUUCAGCGGGGAGGAAGGCGUUAAGGUUAAUAACCUUGGCGAUUGACGUUACCCGCAGAAGAAGCACCGGCUAACUCCGUGCCAGCAGCCGCGGUAAGACGGAGGGUGCAAGCGUUAAUCGGAAUUACUGGGCGUAAAGCGCACGCAGGCGGUCUGUCAAGUCGGAUGUGAAAUCCCCGGGCUCAACCUGGGAACUGCAUUCGAAACUGGCAGGCUAGAGUACUGUAGAGGGGGGUAGAAUUCCAGGUGUAGCGGUGAAAUGCGUAGUGAUCUGGAGGAAUACCGGUGGCGAAGGCGGCCCCCUGGACAAAGACUGACGCUCAGGUGCGAAAGCGUGGGGAGCAAACAGG
rnacentral:rRNA from 1 species